UAAAGGUGCAAUUUCCUGUAGAAAGCAGUA
rnacentral:piRNA from 1 species